rnacentral:lncRNA from 1 species
GGUCUGUCUUUCUAACCGACCAACAGAGGCAGGCUGGGUGCCUGGGCCGGCUUCCACCUGCCCGAGGUGCUUCCCGGCCCGCUGGGCAAGGACGGGGGCGCUCGGGCAGGGUCUGAGGGAGACCUGGGAUGGGCGGGGACUGUAAGGGCAACAGGUGACAAGCCGCGCCCCGAGCGAAGCUCUCGCCUCAGGGAUCGUGAGCGACCCAGGUGCCCCCAGAGUCCAGCCGGUCUUCCGCGGCACUUACGCGCUCGUGGGUCCACCGCCGGGCAGAACCGAAACUUUCUGGGGCCAAGCGGAAGAGGACGGGAACGCGGUGCUGACGGCCAUGACGCGCACACCAAGAGGGUGGCGGGGGCGGACUACAACUCCCGGCGUGCUCCCCGGGGCUGAGGCCUGCAACUCCCAUCGGACUCCCGGGGCUCCGACUACAACUCCCGGCGACUCCGCAGGGCGGGGUUUAAGUGCUCCCACCGCCCAGUCCCCGGACCGACUGUCCCACCCGCGACCCAUGCUGGCCCCAGGUUAACGCCUGCAACCCCGGAGGGCCACAAAUCAAAGGUCUGGCAUCUUGACAACAACGCUGUUCUUGUGUGGCUAAGGAGCACUCCAAAGGUAGCUAGUUCGAGUUGAAUCGUGCACGUGCUGUGGAUAAACAUGAUGAGAUGGGAGCAAGCUUAAGGGUACCAGAUGGAUAAUCACAUAUUCAUACCAUGGGACAUGCCCCUCGGAUGCAUCCUCAAGAAGGGAGAAAAGUUUGAACCCCAAACCCUAAAAAGGAAAAGGCUAAUAUUUUUCUGUAACACAGCUUGGGUUGAAUAAAAUCUCCAGGACCAGUAAUGUUGGCCAGAAAACAGAAGCAUAAAUUUUAAUACAAUCCAUCAACUAGAUUUGUUUUGCUGUCAACAGGGAAAAUGAACAGAAAUCCUUUAUGUACAGGCCUUCGUGGCCCUAAGAAACAACCAUGGCCUUUGUCAGGCUUGUAAAAUGGAUCCAGUGAUGAUAGCGGCCAUUGUCAGGCAGCUGCCACCAGUUGGUUUGGGAGGCCUCUUAUUGGGUUUACCCAGGGCUCAAGCCCCAGAGGAACCAAGGGCAGAGCUUGGGUCAAACCCCACUGCCCCUUCUACCCCUUAAUAUCCAAGUCUUCCAGCCUUGGAUCCUUGCUCUUUCUAGCCAGGGCCACCCUCUGGACACCACCCCCUUAAGUUAUGCCCCUUUCAAGAGGUUAGCAGCCCCAGUGGACCCA